UACUAGAGUAGCACUCGCAUAUCAAUAAGCGGAGGAAAAGAAACUAACAAGGAUUCCCCUAGUAACGGCGAGUGAAGCGGGAAGAGCUCAAAUUUGAAAUCUUAAAGGGUUUCCCUUUACGAAUUGUAGUUUAAAGAAGUGUUUUCUGUUGAGGUUUUGGUAAAAGUUCUUUGGAAUAGGACAUCAUAGAGGGUGAGAAUCCCGUAUUUGACCUUUACCUUUCAACUUUGUGAUACACUUUCAAAGAGUCGGAUUGUUUGGGAAUGCAGUCCAAAAUGGGUGGUAAAUUUCAUCUAAAGCUAAAUAUUGGCGAGAGACCGAUAGCGAACAAGUACCGUGAGGGAAAGAUGAAAAGAACUUUGAAAAGAGAGUUAAACAGUACGUGAAAUUGUCAAAAGGGAAGCGUUUGACACCAGUGUUGUUUUCUCUGAAAAUCAAUUAAAGAACUGUUUAUGCUAAGCUGUUUAGACUUUAUCAGCUAUCUGUUUAGUUUUGAGCUUUUCUUUAAUGCACUUUUCAGUUAACAAGUCAACAUCAAUUUCUUUUGCUGUAAAAAAGCUUGAGGAAGGUGGCUUGAGAUUCGUCUUAAGUGUUUAUAGCCUCUUGCCUAUGCAGUCGGAGAGAUUGAGGUCUGCAGCGUAGAUCCUUCGGGGCUAAAUGCAUUUGUGCUAAGUUAUAGCAUUUUAUAGACAACUUGUUGACUAUGAUUUGUCUUGUAGCUCACUCGCUUAUGUUAUUUUACCUACGCUUAGGAUGUUGAGCGCAUGUCUCUCUCU
rnacentral:rRNA from 1 species